CCUACGGGUGGCAGCAGUGGGGAAUAUUGCGCAAUGGGCGAAAGCCUGACGCAGCGACGCCGCGUGAGGGAUGAAGGUCUUCUGAUCGUUAACCUCUGUCAGCAGGGAAGAACGGUCACUGUGCUAAUCAGCAGUGAAUUGACGGUACCUGCAAAGGAAGCACCGGCUAACUCCGUGCCAGCAGCCGCGGUAAUACGGAGGGUGCGAGCGUUAAUCGGAAUUACUGGGCGUAAAGCGCUCGUAGGCGGUAUGUCAAGUCAAGGGUGAAAUCCCCGCGCUCAACGUGGGAACUGCCUGUGAAACUGGCAAACUGGAGUGUGUGAGAGGAUAGUGGAAUUCCAGGUGUAGGAGUGAAAUCCGUAGAUAUCUGGAGGAACAUCAGUGGCGAAGGCGACUAUCUGGCACAUAACUGACGCUGAGGAGCGAAAGCGUGGGUAGCAAACAGGAUUAGAUACCCCAGUAGUC
rnacentral:rRNA from 1 species